rnacentral:rRNA from 1 species
GAUGAACGCUGGCGGCGUGCCUAAUACAUGCAAGUCGAGCGAAAAGACGAGGAGCUUGCUCCUCUGACGUUAGCGACGGACGGGUGAGUAACACGUGGAUAACCUACCUAUAAGACUGGGAUAACUUCGGGAAACCGGAGCUAAUACCGGAUAAUAUAUUGAACCGCAUGGUUCAAUAGAGAAAGAGGGUUUUGCGGUCACUUAUAGAUGGAUCCGCGCCGCAUUAGCUAGUUGGUGAGGUAACGGCUUACCAAGGGAACGAUGCGUAGCCGACCUGAGAGGGGGAGCGGCCACACUGGAACUGAGAGACGCACCAGGAUCGUACGGGGGGCAGCAGUAGGAAAUCUUGCGGAAGGGGCGAAAGCCGGACGGAGCAUCGCAGCGUGAGUGAGGAAGGCCUUCGGCGCGUAAACCGCUGUUAUUAGGGAAGAACAAAUGGGUAAUUACCUAGGCUCGUCUUGACGGUACCGAAACAGAAAGCCACGGUUAAUUCCUU